GCGGACGUGGCGAAAUUGGUAGACGCACGGGACUUAAAAUCCCUCGCCCAUCGGGUGUGCGGGUUCGAGUCCCGCCGUCCGCACCA
rnacentral:tRNA from 1 species